rnacentral:rRNA from 1 species
AUUCUAGAAAGGACAAUUUUAUUAACCAAUUUAAAUUUAAUUUUGAUGAAAAGCUCAAAAUGUAAUUUUAAGACGAUAAGACCCUAUGAAGCUUAAUUACCACUAAUUUUUUUGGGGAAAAACUUAAUUUUUUUAUUAAAAAUUAGGCUCAUAUUGAUCUUGCUGAAUUACAAGAAAAAGCUACUCUAGGGAUAACAGCAUAAUUUUUAUUAAAGUUCGUAUUGAAAUGAAAGAUUGUGACCUCGAUGUUGAAUUAAGAAAACUAAUUUGUGCAGCCGCUAAUUAGAGAUAGUCUGUUCGACUAUACUAUCUUACAUGAUCUGAGUUCAAACCGGA